CAGGCACUAGUGCUGGGAGAUCUUUUCCA
rnacentral:piRNA from 1 species